CCUACGGGGCGCAGCAGUGGGGAAUAUUGGGCAAUGGGCGCAAGCCUGACCUAGCAACGCCGCGUGAAGGAAGAAGGCUUUCGGGAUGUAAACUUCUUUUAUGAGGGACGAAAGAAAUGACGGUACCUCAUGAAUAAGCCACGGCUAACUACGUGCCAGCAGCCGCGGUAAUACGUAGGUGGCAAGCGUUAUCCGGAUUUACUGGGUGUAAAGGGCGUGUAGGCGGGGAUGCAAGUCUGAUGUGAAAAUUAUGGGCUCAACCCACAGCCUGCAUUUGAAACUGUAGUGCUGGAGUGAUGGAGAGG
rnacentral:rRNA from 1 species